GAUGAACGCUGGCGGCGUGCUUAACACAUGCAAGUCGAACGGAAAGGCUCCUGCUUGCCGGGGUACUCGAGUGGCGAACGGGUGAGUAACACGUGAGUGAUCUGCCCUGCACUUCGGGAUAAGCCUGGGAAACUGGGUCUAAUACCGGAUAGGACCACAUUUUGGAUGGUGUGGUGGAAAGUUUUUCGGUGUGGGAUGAGCUCGCGGCCUAUCAGCUUGUUGGUGGGGUAAUGGCCUACCAAGGCGUCGACGGGUAGCCGGCCUGAGAGGGUGUACGGCCACAUUGGGACUGAGAUACGGCCCAGACUCCUACGGGAGGCAGCAGUGGGGAAUAUUGCACAAUGGGCGCAAGCCUGAUGCAGCGACGCCGCGUGGGGGAUGACGGCCUUCGGGUUGUAAACUCCUUUCGCUAGGGACGAAGCGCAAGUGACGGCACCUGGAGAAGAAGCACCGGCUAACUACGUG
rnacentral:rRNA from 1 species